rnacentral:rRNA from 1 species
ACGAACGCUGGCGGCGUGCUUAACACAUGCAAGUCGAACGGUGAAGGGGCCUGCUUUUGUGGGCCCUGGAUGAGUGGCGAACGGGUGAGUAACACGUGAGUAACCUGCCCCCUUCUUCUGGAUAACCGCAUGAAAGUGUGGCUAAUACGGGAUAUUCUGGGUCUGUCGCAUGAUGGGUCUGGGAAAGAUUGCGCCUUUGGGUGUUUUUGGUGGGGGAUGGGCUCGCGGCCUAUCAGCUUGUUGGUGGGGUGAUGGCCCACCAAGGCGGUGACGGGUAGCCGGCCUGAGAGGGUGGACGGUCACACUGGGACUGAGAUACGGCCCAGACUCCUACGGGAGGCAGCAGUGGGGAAUAUUGCACAAUGGGCGCAAGCCUGAUGCAGCGACGCCGCGUGAGGGAUGGAGGCCUUCGGGUUGUAAACCUCUUUCGCCAGUGAAGCAGGCCUGCUCCUUGUGGGUGGGUUGACGGUAGCUGGAUAAGAAGCGCCGGCUAACUACGUG